rnacentral:rRNA from 1 species
AACGAACGCUGGCGGCAUGCCUAACACAUGCAAGUCGAACGAGACCUUCGGGUCUAGUGGCGCACGGGUGAGUAACGCGUGGGAACCUGCCCUUAGGUUCGGAAUAACUCCCCGAAAGGGGUGCUAAUACCGGAUAAUGUCUUCGGACCAAAGAUUUAUCGCCUUUGGAUGGGCCCGCGUUGGAUUAGCUAGUUGGUAGGGUAAAGGCCUACCAAGGCGACGAUCCAUAGCUGGUCUGAGAGGAUGAUCAGCCACACUGGGACUGAGACACGGCCCAGACUCCUACGGGAGGCAGCAGUGGGGAAUAUUGGACAAUGGGCGAAAGCCUGAUCCAGCAAUGCCGCGUGAGUGAUGAAGGCCUUAGGGUUGUAAAGCUCUUUUAGCCGGGAUGAUAAUGACAGUACCGGGAGAAGAAGCUCCGGCUAACUCCGUG